rnacentral:tRNA from 1 species
CAUUUUUGAGAAACUAGCUAAUACUGAACGUAUUUAAGGAGAAAUUCACCCUCAAAAUU